UACGAGGGGGGCAAGCGUUGUUCGGAAUUAUUGGGCGUAAAGGGUGCGUAGGCGGUUAGACAAGUCUUGUGUGAAAUCUUCGGGCUCAACUCGAAGUCUGCACAAGAAACUGUUUGGCUGGAGUGUGGGAGAGGUGAGUGGAAUUCCCGGUGUAGCGGUGAAAUGCGUUGAUAUCAGAAGGAACGCCGGCGGCGAAAGCGACGCACUGGACCUUUUCUGACGCUGAGGCGCGAAAGCCAGGGGAGCAAACGGG
rnacentral:rRNA from 1 species